rnacentral:rRNA from 1 species
AUUGAACGUUGGCGGCAGGCCUAACACAUGCAAGUCGAACGAGUGGCGGAAGGGUGAGUAAUGUCUGGGAAACUGCCUGAUGGAGGGGGAUAACUACUGGAACCGGUAGCGAAUACCGCAUACCAUCGGAUGUUCCCAGAUGGGAUUAGCUUGUAGGUGGGGUAACUGCUCACCUAGGCGACGCUCCCUAGCUGGUCUGAGAGGAUGACCAGCCACACUGGAACUGAGACACGGGCCCGACUCCUACGGGAGGCAGCAGUGGGGAAUAUUGCACAAUGGGCGCAAGCCUGAUGCAGCCAUGCCGCGUGUAUGAAGAAGGCCUUCGGGUUGUAAAGUACUGGCAGCGGGGAGGCGUUACCCGCAGAAGAAGCACCGGCUAACUCCGUGCCAGCAGCCGCGGUAAUUC